rnacentral:rRNA from 1 species
UCGGCAACGGAUAUCUCGGCUCUCGCAUCGAUGAAGAACGUAGCGAAAUGCGAUACUUGGUGUGAAUUGCAGAAUCCCGUGAACCAUCGAGUUUUUGAACGCAAGUUGCGCCCUAAGCCUUCUGGCCGAGGGCACGUCUGCCUGGGUGUCACAAAUCGUCGUCCCCC